UACGGAGGGUGCGAGCGUUGUCCGGAAUCAUUGGGCGUAAAGGGCGCGUAGGCGGCGUGACAAGUCACUUGUGAAAUCUCCGGGCUUAACUCGGAACGGUCAAGUGAUACUGUCGUGCUAGAGUACAGAAGGGGCAACUGGAAUUCUCGGUGUAGCGGUGAAAUGCGUAGAUAUCGAGAGGAACACCUGCGGCGAAGGCGGGUUGCUGGGCUGAUACUGACGCUGAGGCGCGAAAGCCAGGGGAGCGAACGGG
rnacentral:rRNA from 1 species